rnacentral:tRNA from 1 species
CAUAGUGUAGCUUACAUAAAGCAUCUGGCCUACACCCAGAAGAAUUCAUAAAAUGAACACUUUGA